rnacentral:rRNA from 1 species
AGCGACUGUGCAGGUUACCGCGGCUGCUGGCACGGAGUUAGCCGGUGCUUCUUCUGUGAGUGAUGUCCUUCCUGCCGGCUAUUAACCCGCAGGCCUUCUUCCUCACUGAAAGUGCUUUACAACCCGAAGGCCUUCUUCACACACGCGGCAUGGCUGGAUCAGGGUUGCCCCCAUUGUCCAAUAUUCCCCACUGCUGCCUCCCGUAGGAGUCUGGGCCGUGUCUCAGUCCCCAGUGUGGCUGAUCAUCCUCUCAGACCAGCUACGGAUCGUCGCCUUGGUGAGCCGUUACCUCACCAACCAGCUAAUCCGACAUAGGCUCAUCCGAUAGCGCGAGGCCCGAAGGUCCCCCGCUUUCCCCCGUAGGGCGUAUGCGGUAUUAGCCUGGGUUUCCCCAGGUUAUCCCCCACUACCGGGCAGAUUCCUAUGCAUUACUCACCCGUCCGCCGCUCGCCACCAGGGAUCAAGCUCCCCGUGCUGCCGCUCGACUUGCAUGUGUUAGGCCUGCCGCCAGCGUUCAAU